CGGAAUUUAACAACGACAUUAUCACGUGUUCUGUCAGCGCUUUUGACAAAAAUAUAUACAAGGGACUUUUAAUCACGCUCACAUUGAGCAGUUUUGCAGGCAUAACAUUUUUAAUACGGAAAGAUAAAUGCAUUUAAGUACAGCCGCUUGAUGUUUUUUUUUUCAUUUUCUAACUUGCAUAUUGUGGGACUUGCUGUCAAUCACACUACAAAGCAGCCAGUCCAUCUGCUGGCCCAGGUAGUUGACACCACGAAUGCAAAGCUCACAAAUGUCAUUGGGAAGUAAUGGAGAAAAGGCCAGACAUUCUCUCUGAACUCUAUUUAAAAAAAAAAACAAGAAUGUCUUGCAGGAAUCCUCCCAUACCUGUGAGGAAGUUUACGGCACCCGAGCCAUCUGAUGACUCACUCCACACCUGUGGAAAAAGGUCAUUCACAAAUGUUUGCAAAAACUCUCAUCUGGGAGUCAAGAUGAUACCUGGAAC